rnacentral:rRNA from 1 species
AUUGAACGCUGGCGGCAUGGCUAAAACAUGCAAGUCGAGCGCGAAAGGGAGCAAUCCCGAGUAGAGCGGCGAAAGGGUGAGUAAUAGGUUUCUACGUGCCUCAAGGUCGAGGAUAGCCAGGGGAAACUCUGGGUAAUACUCGAUGUGAUCGAGAGAUCAAAGGCUUGCCGCCUUGAGAGCGGGGAACCUCCUAUCAGGUAGUUGGUGAGGUAACGGCUCACCAAGCCUAUGACGGGUAGCGGGUGUGAGAGCAUGGCCCGCCACAUCGAAACUGAGACACUGUUCGGACUCCUACGGGAGGCUGCAGUAACGAAUCUUCCGCAAUGCGCGAAAGCGUGACGGAGCAAUGCCGCGUGCAGGAUGAAGCCCCUCGGGGUGUAAACUGCUGUCAGGGAUUAGGAAGCAACUGACCAAUCCCAAAGGAAGAGACGACUAACUCUGUGCCAGCAGUCGCGGUAAUACAGAGGUCUCGAGCGUU